CCAGAUCUUAAACAAUUCAAACUGCAUCGCCUUAAACUCUUUGGAACUCUCCCUCCUUUCACCUCGUUCUCCGCCUCUCUCUCUCUCUCUCUCUCUCAAAUUCCCAACUUUGAAAACCCUAAUUUCCCCAACCGAUGAAUUUUAGCAGUCGGUGUCCUCAGUCCAUGACCACGAAGAAGUAGCGACGUCUUGCGAUUUGAAAAAUUCAAUAGCCGCUCGCCAUGGAUGACUUAUCAGAGGCUAGCUUCGACUACCUCGUCGGAGAUGAUGGGGAGCCACUACGUUGAUAAAUCUAGGGAUUAUUCUUUUGGGUGAUGGAAAAUCUAGACACUCCCAGAUUUCGAAGUUCUUUCUUGUUGUGAAUCUCCUAAAUGUUUCUAGGAUUAAGGUUCUACAGGAGUUCAAGUUCUGUGAAUAAGACUUGGGCUACCAUGUUUGGGGGCAUUCUGAAUGGCUGUGAGCACAAUGCAAGUAUAGAAUCAGUGAGACAGGAACUCAAUUGAGAUUCAAAUGUACAUUGAGACUAAGAAUAACAAAAAUCUGAAGGUAUGCCUUGUUCUUGUUGGUCUGUGUUACAAAGGUAGAGUUGCUAAAGAAAGGAACAAAGUAAUAAAAGCAAUUUUCAGCUGGUGGGGCAUAUGAUAGCAUUUUGGGAAGUCUCCUAGUGUUAUUUAGUUAUUUAAGUUUUUUUUUUCUCUUCAAUGUA